UGGGGAAUAUUGGACAAUGGGCGCAAGCCUGAUCCAGCCAUGCCGCGUGAACGAUGAAGGCCUUAGGGUUGUAAAGUUCUUUUGUCAGGGAAGAUAAUGACGGUACCUGAAGAAUAAGCACCGGCUAACUUCGUGCCAGCAGCCGCGGUAAUACGAAGGGUGCUAGCGUUGUUCGGAAUCACUGGGCGUAAAGCGCGCGUAGGCGGCGAUAUAAGUCAGAGGUGAGAGCCUGGAGCUCAACUCCGGAACUGCCUUUGAUACUGGCAAUCUAGAGUCCGGAAGAGGUUAGUGGAAUUCCCAGUGUAGAGGUGAAAUUCGUAGAUAUUGGGAAGAACACCAGUGGCGAAGGCGGCUAACUGGUCCGGUACUGACGCUGAGGUGCGAAAGCGUGGGGAGCAAACAGGAUUAGAUACCCUAGUAGUCCCUGAGCGGGCUGGCAAGGCGCAU
rnacentral:rRNA from 1 species